ensembl:lncRNA novel transcript
GGGGAGCUCGGCUCUUAAGAUACGAGUCUGCCAAUGCUCCCGGCCAAAUAAAAAACCUCUUCCUUCUUUAAUCUGGUGUCUGAGGAGUUUUGUCUGUGACUCGUCCUGCUACAUUUCUUGGUUCCCUGGCCAGGAAGCAAGGUAAUUGAAGGACAGUCGAGGCAGCCCCUUAGGUGGCUUAGGCCUGCCCUGUGGAGCAUCCCUGCAGGGGACUCUGGCCAGCUUGAGUGACGCGGAUCCUGAGAGCGCUCCCAGGUAGGCAAUUACCCCGGUGGAAAGCCUCGUCAGAGCAGUGCGUGGCAGGCCCCUGUGGAGGAUCAAUGCAGUGGCUGAACACUGGGAAGGAACAGGCACUUGGAGUCCAGACAUUUGAAACUUGGUAAGACUGGUCUUCGGAACUUGCCCACUCCAUUUGAGUGGAAGCGUGGCCUGAUCAACCACGGCAUGCCUGUACUGGCACUUUGGUUUUUGUUUUUGACUUGACUUGAAUUGCUUGAUACUUUGGUUUUGGUUUGACCUGGCUUGGAUUUCUGGAUACUCUGAUUUUGGUUUUGAUUCUGGUUUGGUGAAAACUGAAAAAGUGUGUGUGUGCACUUUUUACCCAUUCUUUGUUUUGUGGUGUGCAUGUGGUGUGAGCUUGGUGUUUUGUCUUGAGGAAACAUGGAUCAGACACAAAAUAAGCCUACUCCUCUAGGAACUAUGUUGAAAAAUUUUAAGAAGGGAUUUAAUGGAGACUAUGGGGUUACUAUGACACCAGGGAAACUUAGAACUUUGUGUGAAAUAGAUUGGCCAACAUUAGAAGUGGGUUGGCCAUCAGAAGGAAGCCUGGACAGGUCCCUUGUUUCUAAGGUAUGGCACAAGGUAACUAGUAAGUCAGGACACUCAGACCAGUUUCCAUACAUAGACACUUGGUUACAGCUGGUGCUAGACCCCCCACAGUGGCUAAGAGGGCAGGCAGCAGCAGUGCUAGUAGCAAAGGGACAGAUAGUCAAGGAAGGAUUCUGCUCCACCCGCUGAGGGAAAUCAACUCCUGAAGUUCUGUUCGACCAAACAUCAGAAGAUCCAUUGCAGGAGAUGGCACCAGUGAUCCCAGUGUUGCCCUCCCCUUAUCAGGGAGAGAGGCUCCCCACUUUUGAGUCCACAGUGCUUGCGCCUCUGCCAGACAAAUGUAUCCCUAGGCCACUCAGAGUAGACAAGAGAGGAGGUGAAGCCUCGGGAGAAACCCCUCCCUUGGCAGCUCAUUUAAGACCCAAAACAGGGAUACAAAUGCCCCUGAGAGAGCAGCAGUAUACUGGAAUAGAUGAGGAUGGGCACAUGGUGGAGAGUCGUGUUUUUGUGUACCAGCCCUUCACCUCUGCCGACCUUCUCAACUGGAAAAACAAUACCCCGUCCUAUACUGAAAAGCCGCAAGCUCUAAUUGAUUUGCUCCAAACUAUUAUCCAGACCCAUAACCCCACUUGGGCUGAUUGCCACCAGUUGCUCAUGUUCCUCUUUAAAACAGAUGAAAGGUGAAGGGUGCUUCAAGCAGCAACUAAGUGGCUAGAGGAACAUGCACUGGCUGAUUACCAAAACCCCCAAGAGUAUGUAAGGACACAGUUACCAGGAACCGACCCCCAGUGGGACCCAAAUUAAAGAGAGGAUAUGCAAAGGCUAAACCGAUACAGGAAAGCUCUCUUAGAAGGAUUAAAGAGGAGAGCCCAGAAGGCCACAAACAUUAACAAGGUCUCUGAGGUCAUUCAGGGAAAAGAAGAAAGUCCAGCAAAAUUCUACGAGAGACUGUGUGAGGCUUAUUGUAUGUAUACUCCCUUUGAUCCCGAUAGCCCUGAAAAUCAACGCAUGAUUAACAUGGCUUUAGUUAGUCAAAGCACAGAAGACAUUAGAAGAAAACUGCAGAAAAAGGCUGGGUUUGCAGGGAUGAACACAUCACAGUUAUUAGAAAUAGCCAACCAGGUGUUUGUAAACAGGGAUGCAGCAAGCCGUAAGGAAAACCACAUAGAGAAUGAACGUCAGGCCCGGCGAAACGCCGACCUGUUAGCUGCAGCAAUUAGAGGGGUCCCCCCAAAGAGGCAAGGGAAAAGGGGGGCCCUGGGAAAGAAACUCAGCCUGGCUGUCAGAGCUUGCAGUGUAAUCAGUGUGCUUAUCGUAAAGAAAUAGGAUAUUGGAAGAACAAAUGCCCUCAGCUAAAAGGAAAACAAGGUGACUCGGAGCAGGAGGCUCCAGACAAGGAGGAAGGGGCCCUGCUCAACCUGGCAGAAGGGUUAUUGGACUGAGGGGGACUGGGCUCAAGGACCUCCAAAGAGCCUAUGGUCAGGAUGACAGUUGGGGGUAAAGACAUUGAUUUUCUUGUAGAUACCAGUGCUGAACAUUCGGUAGUAACUGCCUCAGUCGCCCCCUUAUCCAAAAAGACUAUUGACAUCAUCGGAGCCAUGGGAGUUUCAGCAAAACAAGCUUUCUGCUUGCCCCAGACUUGUACUAUAGGAGGACAUAAAGUGAUUCAUCAGUUUUUGUACAUGCCUGAUUGUCCCUUGCCCUUGUUGGGAAGAGACUUGCUUAGCAAACUGAGAGCCACUAUCUCUUUUACAGAGCACGGCUCUUUGCUGCUAAAGUUACCCGGAACAGGAGUCAUUAUGACCCUUAUGCUCCCCCGAGAGGAGGAAUGGAGACUUUUCUUAACUGAGCCGGGCCAAGAGAUAAGACCAGCUCUGGCUAAGCGGUGGCCAAGAGUGUGGGCGGAAGACAACCCUCCAGGGUUGGCAGUCAACCAAGCCCCCGUGCUUAUAGAAGUUAAGCCUGGGGUCCAGCCGGUUAGGCAAAAACAGUACCCGGUCCUCAGAGAAGCUCUUGAAGGUAUCCAGGUCCAUCUCAAGUGCCUAAGAACCUUUAGAAUUAUAGUUCCUUGUCAGUCUCCAUGGAACACUCCCCUCCUGCCUGUUCCCAAGCCUGGGACCAAGGACUACAGGCCGGUACAGGAUUUGCGCUUGGUUAAUCAGGCUACAGUGACUUUACAUCCAACAGUACCUAACCUGUACACAUUGCUGGGGUUGCUGCCAGCUGAGGACAGCUGGUUCACCUGCUUGGACCUGAAAGAUGCUUUCUUUAGCAUCAGAUUAGCCCCUGAGAGACAGAAGCUGUUUGCCUUUCAGUGGGAAGAUCCAGAGUCAGGUGUCACUACUCAAUACACUUGGACCCAGCUUCCCCAAAGGUUCAAGAACUCCCCCACCAUCUUUGGGGAGGCGUUGGCUCGAGACCUCCAGAAGUUUCCCACCAGAGACCUAGGCUGCGUGUUGCUCCAGUACGUUGAUGACCUUUUGCUGGGACACCCCACGGCAGUCGGGUGCGCCAAGGGAACAGAUGCUCUACUCCGGCACCUGGAGGACUGUGGGUAUAAGGUGUCCAAGAAAAAAAGCUCAGAUCUGCCGACAGCAGGUAUGUUACUUGGGAUUUACUAUCCAACAGGGGGAGCACAGCCUGGGAUCAGAAAGAAAGCAGGUCAUUUGUAAUCUACCGGAGCCUAAGACCAGAAGGCAGGUGAGAGAAUUCUUAGGGGCUGUGGGUUUUUGCAGACUGUGGAUCCCAAACUUUGCAGUAUUAGCUAAGCCUUUGUAUGAGGUCACAAAGGCGGGGGACCAGGAACCUUUUGAAUGGGGAUCCCAGCAACAGCAAGCCUUUCAUGAGUUAAAGGAAAGACUUAUGUCAGUCCCAGCCCUGGGGCUACCUGAUCUGACAAAGCCUUUUACAUUGUAUGUGUCAGAGAGUGAAAAGAUGGCAGUUGGAGUUUUAACCCAAACUGUGGGGCCCUGGCUGAGGCCGGUGGCCUACCUCUCUAAACAACUAGACGGGGUUUCUAAAGGAUGGCCCCCGUGUUUGAGGGCCUUGGCAGCAACUGCCCUGCUAGUACAAGAAGCAGAUAAGCUGAUUCUUGGGCAAAACCUGAACAUAAAGGACCCCCAUGCUGUGGUGACUUUAAUGAAUACUAGAGGACAUCAUUGGCUAACGAAUGCUAGACUUACUAAGUACCAAAGUUUGCUUUGUGAAAAUCCCCAUAUAACCAUUGAAGUUUGUAACACCCUGAACCCCGCUACCUUGCUCCCAGUAUUAGAGAUCCCUGUCGAGCAUGACUGUGUAGAAGUGUUGGACUCAGUUUACUCUGGGCAUCAGUAGACUGGGAACUAUACGUGGAUGGGAGCAGCUUUGUCAACCCACAAGAAGAGAGAUGUGCAGGGUAUGCGGUGGUAACUCUGGACACUGUUGCUGAAGCCAGAUCGUUUCCCCAGGGCACUUCAACUCAGAAAGCUGAACUCAUUGCUUUAAUUCGGGCCUUAGAACUCAGUGAAGGUAAGACUGUAAACAUUUACACUGACUCUUGAUAUGUCUUUUUAACCCUUCAAGUGCAUGGAGCAUUAUGUAAAGAAAAGGGCCUAUUGAACUCUGGGGGAAAAGACAUAAAAUAUCAACAAGAAAUCUUGCAAUUAUUAGAAGCAGUAUGGAAACCCCACAAGGUGGCUGUUAUACAUUGCGGAGGACACCAGUGAGCUUCCACCUUGGUGGGUUUGGGGAAUUCCUGCACUGACUUAGAGGCUCAAAAAGCAGCAUCUGCCCCCUUCCGGGCAUCAGUGACAGCCCCCCUGCUCCCUCAAGCACCUGAUCUUGUACCUACUUAUUCUAAAGAAGAAAAGGACUUUCUCCAGGCAGAGGGAGGACAAGUGAUGGAGGAAGGAUGGAUUUGGUUACCAGAUGGGAGAGUAGCUGUGCCACAGCUGCUAGGAGCUGCAGUUGUACUGGCUGUGCAUAAAACCACCCAUCUAGGUCAGGAAUCACUUGAAAAGUUGUUAGGCUGGUAUUUCUACAUCUCGCAUUUGUCAGCCCUUGCCAAAACAGUGACGCAGCGGUGUGUUACCUGCCGACAGCAUAAUGCGAGACAAGGUCCAGCUGUUCCCCCUGGCAUACAAGCUUAUGGAGCAGCCCCCUUUGAAGAUCUCCAGGUGGACUUCACAGAGAUGCCAAAGUGUGGAGGUAACAAGUAUUUACUAGUUCUUGUGUGUACCUACUCUGGGCAGGUGGAGGCUUAUCCAACACGAACUGAGAAAGCUCAUGAAGUAACUCGUGUGCUUCUUCGAGAUCUUAUUCCUAGAUUUGGACUGCCCUUACGGAUUGGCUCAGAUAAUGGGCUGGUGUUUGUGGCUGACUUGGUACAGAAGACGGCAAAGGUAUUGGGGAUCACAUGGAAACUGCAUGCUGCCUACCAGCCUCAGAGUUCCGGAAAGGUAGAGCGGAUGAAUCGGACUAUCAAAAAUAGUUUAGGGAAAGUAUGUCAAGAAACAGGAUUAAAAUGGAUACAGGCUCUUCCUAUGGUAUUAUUUAAAAUUAGAUGUACCCCUUCUAAAAGAACAGGAUAUUCCCCUUAUGAAAUAUUAUAUCAUAGGCCCCCUCCUAUAUUGCGGGGACUUCCAGGCACUCCCCGAGAGUUAGGUGAAAUUGAGUUACAGCGAUAGCUACAGGCUUCAGGAAAAAUUACACAAACAAUCUCGGCCUGGGUAAAUGAGAGAUGCCCUGUUAACUUAUUCUCCCCAGUUCACCCUUUCUCCCCAGGUGAUCUAGUGUGGAUCAAGGACUGAAACGUAGCCUGUUUGUGUCCACGGUGGAAAGGACCCCAGACUGUCAUCCUGAGCACUCCCACCGCUGUGAAGGUAGAGGGAAUCCCAACCUGGAUCCACCACAGCCGUGUAAAACCUGCAGUGCCUGAAACCUGGGAGGCAAGACCAAGCCCAGAAAACCCCUGCAGAGUGACCCCGAAGAAGACAACAAGCCCUGCUCCAGUCACACCCGGAAGCUGACUGGUCCACGCACGGCCGAAGCAUGCAGAAGCUCAUCAUGGGAUUCAUUUUUCUUAAAUUUUGGACUUAUACAGUAAGGGCUUCAACUGAUCUUACUCAAACUGGGGACUGUUCCCAGUGUAUUCAUCAGGUCACCGAGGUAGGACAGCAAAUUAAAACAAUGUUUCUGUUCUAUAGUUAUUAUAAAUGUAUAGGAACAUUAAAAGAAACUUGUUUGUAUAAUGCUACUCAGUACAAUGUAUGUAGCCCAGGAAAUGACCGACCUGAUGUGUGUUAUAACCCAUCUGAGCCUCCUGCAACCACCAUUUUUGAAAUAAGAAUAAGAACUGGCCUUUUCCUAGGUGAUACAAGUAAAAUAAUAACUAGAACAGAAGAAAAAGAAAUCCCCAAACAAAUAACUUUAAGAUUUGAUGCUUGUGCAGCCAUUAAUAGUAAAAAGCUAGGAAUAGGAUGUGAUUCUCUUAACUGGGAAAGGAGCUACAGAAUAAAAAAUAAAUAUGUUUGUCAUGAGUCAGGGGUUUGUGAAAAUUGUGCCUAUUGGCCAUGUGUUAUUUGGGCUACUUGGAAAAAGAACAAAAAGGACCCGGUUUAUCUUCAGAAGGGGGAAGCCAACCCCUCCUGUGCUGCUGGUCACUGUAACCCACUAGAACUAAUAAUUACCAAUCCCCUAGAUCCCCAUUGGAAAAAGGGAGAACGUGUAACCCUGGGGAUUGAUGGGACAGGGUUAAACCCCCAAGUUGCCAUUUUAAUUAGAGGGGAGGUCCACAAGUGCUCUCCCAAACCAGUAUUUCAAACCUUUUAUAAGGAGCUGAAUCUGCCAGCACCAGAAUUUCCAAAAAAGACAAAAAAUUUGUUUCUCCAAUUAGCAGAAAAUGUAGCUCAUUCCCUUAAUGUUACUUCUUGUUAUGUAUGCGGGGGAACCACUAUCGGAGACCGAUGGCCUUGGGAAGCCCGAGAGUUGGUGCCUACUGAUCCAGCUCCUGAUAUAAUUCCAGUUCAGAAAACCCAAGCUAGCAACUUCUGGGUCCUAAAAACCUCAAUUAUUGGACAAUACUGUAUAGCUAGAGAAGGGAAAGACUUUAUCAUCCCUGUAGGAAAGCUUAAUUGUAUAGGACAGAAGUUGUAUAACAGUACAACAAAGACAAUUACUUGGUGGGGCAUAAACCACACUGAAAAGAAUCCAUUUAGUAAAUUUUCAAAAUUAAAAACUGCUUGGGCUCAUCCAGAAUCUCAUCAGGACUGGAUGGCUCCCGCUGGACUAUACUGGAUAUGUGGGCACAGAGCCUACAUUCGGUUACCUAAUAAAUAGGCAGGCAGUUGUGUUAUUGGCACUAUUAAGUCGUCCUUUUUCUUAUUACCCAUAAAAACAGGUGAGACCCUAGGUUUCCCUGUCUAUGCCUCCCGAGAAAAGAGAGGCAUAGUUAUAGGAAACUGGAAAGAUAAUGAGUGGCGCCCUGAAAGGAUCAUACAGUAUUAUGGGCCUGCCACAUGGGCACAAGACGGCUCAUGGGGAUACCGAACCCCCAUUUACAUGCUCAAUCGGAUCAUACGGUUGCAGGCCAUCUUAGAAAUAAUUACUAAUGAAACUGGCAGAGCUUUGACUGUUUUAGCUCGGCAGGAAACCCAAACGAGGAAUGCUAUCUAUCAGAAUAGACUGGCCUUGGACUACUUGCUAGCAGCUGAAGGAGGAGUUUGUGGAAAAUUUAACUUAACCAAUUACUGCCUACAAAUAGAUGAUCAAGGACAGGUGGUUGAAAACAUAGUCAGGGACAUGACAAAGGUGGCACAUGUGCCUGUACAGGUUUGGCACAAGUUUAAUCCUGAGUCUUUAUUUGGAAAAUGGUUUCCAGCUAUAGGAGGAUUUAAAACCCUCAUUGUAGGUGUAUUGCUAGUGAUAGGAACUUGCUUGCUGCUCCCCUGUGUAUUACCCUUGCUUUUUCAAAUGAUAAAAUAUUUUGUUGUUACUUUAGUUCAUCAGAAAACUUCAGCACAUGUGUAUUAUACAAAUCACUAUCGCUCUAUCUCACAAAGAGACUAAAAAAGUGAGGACGAGAGUAAGAACUCCCACUAAAAGUGAAAAUUCUCAAAGGGGGGGAAAUAUGGUAUGAGGUCGCCACUUCUCCUGUUGUCCUUCUCAGUUUCUCCCCAACCUCCCCUUUUCCCUAGUUUAUAAGACAGGAGAAAAGGGAGAAAGCAAAAAGUUGAAAAGAAACAGAAGUAAGAUAAAUAGCUAGACGACCUUGGCACCACCACCUGGCCCUGGUGGCUAAAAUAAUAAUAAUAUUAUUAACCCCUGACCAAAACUAUUGGUGUUAUCUGUAAAUUCCAGACACUGUAUGAGAAAAUACUGUAAAACUUUUUGUUCUGUUAGCUGAUGUAUGUAGCCCCCAGUCAUGUUUCUCACGCUUACUUGAUCUAUUAUGACUUUUUCAUGUAGACCCCUUAGAGUUGUAAGCCCUUAAAAGGGCUAAGAAUUUCUUUUUCGGGGAGCUCG